CGGGGCGUGGCUCAGCCUGGUAGAGCGCAACGUUUGGGACGUUGAUGUCGCUGGUUCGAAUCCAGUCGCCCCGACCA
rnacentral:tRNA from 1 species